AAGGGAUUAGCUCAAAGGUAGAGCAACCGUUUUACACACGGUUGGUUAGGUGUUCAAGUCACCUAUUCCUUA
rfam:Sclerotinia sclerotiorum 1980 TF-70 mitochondrion, complete genome.